GAUCGUGUUCAUUGCCAUUAUAUCUUACAUUAUACGUACAAUAUAUGUACAUGUAUUUACGCAUCGUUUAGGAAUUGUGUGUUUAUUGACGAGUUGCGAUAGAUAAUAACUUGAAAACCGGAAACGAUAAUUGCGCUCGCUGAGGAGCGACGGAAGAGCGUGUGAGAAGAGAAGAAAAAAAAGAUAAAUAAAUUAAAAAAUACAAAGCUAACGCGAAAAAGAAAAAGAUUAAAAAAAAAAAAAACACUGAGCAGUCAUAAUACACGUAUCGGUAUUAUACGUAUACGUGUAAUAUGGUAUACGCAUGUGCAUACAUACAUAUAAAUAGAUACACGCAAGCACGCUCGCGUAGCGCGCAAACACGGCGUAUGCAAGGUCUAUGGUCCAACGACAGUUUGUUUGCCGCAACAAACAAGACGAGAAACAUACAAUUUUAUAUAAACAAAAUAAACACAUAUAGUUGCGUAUCGCCGAGCAAAAGUCGGCAAGUAAAAUUCAAACGUAUGCGUGUACGUGCGUAUGUGUACCUAUUAAAAAUUUCGGUAUAUAAAAAUGUCUCCCGUCUUACUUUUCGAAAAAUGUCGUGUAUUGUCACAAAGCGUGUACGAAUAUUGAUGCGAAAAUUUGUUUAGUGUUAGAAAAUAAUGAGAGAUAAAUUACUACACAACGUUGGCGAAGUGGAACGACAUAAUAUGUCGUUGAAUCGCGUGACGUCCUAGUGCUGACGAACGUCACGUUGUUUCACGUUGACACGUCCGAAACCGGAUGCGGAAGCGGAACCGGAACCGGAAGUGCGUAUAGGUAUAUCGUACGUUUACGCGCGUAUGACAUAUACGGUCGAAGCCCGAACAAAAAUACCGAGCGACUAGCAGCUGGGGUUGUGGCAUGAGUAGAGACCUGAUUUGCGUCACGAUUGGUCCGUCUGUACCGGCGACUAUCAUAGUAUCUCCCUCCCGCAACGUGCCGUUUACAAGAAUGCAAUCGAUCGUUGUCCCGAGACCAGGGAGAGCCUUAACCUCAAGAACGGUUGCCUGCAGCUCUUCGCUGAACAUCAGUCGCUUGGCCAGAGGUCCUUGACAGGCGUCGACCACUAGCCCGAGAAGAUUACCCAUCCCUUCGCCUGUGGAUAUUGUGAAAUUGUGAACGUUAAUAAAAAAUUUUUGAAA
rnacentral:lncRNA from 1 species